rnacentral:rRNA from 1 species
GCAUAUCAAUAAGCGGAGGAAAAGAAACCAACCGGGAUUGCCUUAGUAACGGCGAGUGAAGCGGCAAAAGCUCAAAUUUGAAAUCUGGUACCUUCGGUGCCCGAGUUGUAAUUUGGAGAGGGCAACUUUGGGGCCGUUCCUUGUCUAUGUUCCUUGGAACAGGACGUCAUAGAGGGUGAGAAUCCCGUGUGGCGAGGAGUGCGGUUCUUUGUAAAGUGCCUUCGAAGAGUCGAGUUGUUUGGGAAUGCAGCUCUAAGUGGGUGGUAAAUUCCAUCUAAAGCUAAAUAUUGGCGAGAGACCGAUAGCGAACAAGUACAGUGAUGGAAAGAUGAAAAGAACUUUGAAAAGAGAGUGAAAAAGUACGUGAAAUUGUUGAAAGAGAAGGGCAUUUGAUCAGACAUGGUGUUUUGUGCCCUCUGCUCCUUGUGGGUAGGGGAAUCUCGCAUUUCACUGGGCCAGCAUCAGUUUUGGUGGCAGGAUAAAUCCAUAGGAAUGUAGCUUGCCUCGGUAAGUAUUAUAGCCUGUGGGAAUACUGCCAGCUGGGACUGAGGACUGCGACGUAAGUCAAGGAUGCUGGCAUAAUGGUUAUAUGCCGCCCGUCUUGAAACACGGACC